rnacentral:lncRNA from 1 species
GUAAUAGUAGCUGACUCAGUGACCACAGUGAAGGGAAAGUACACAGGAGGUUCAGCAGGCCUUCCUGGGUGAGCCCUGAUGAGAGUUUGUUUCCCUUUGAUGACAGAGACAGAGAAGAGCACAGGUGACUGCAGCCCAUAUGCCUCAAUUACAUCUCUCAUGUCCUUCACUGUUCCCUGAUUUUCCUGGGAUAUUGACUACAAAGUUUUCUGCUACAAGGAAAGAAGAAGGAAACUUAAGAGAAAUGAAAAUUAAGAAAUACAGCUUGUUCCUAGAAAAUUCAGACUCCUCGAUCUUUAGACACAAGAUCGAGGUCCUGGGCCUUACAUUUCAACACAGCCAGCUUUCCUGAAAGCAGUGCCUGUUCCAAAGGUAUAAGCAAAUGAGGAAAACAACCCACGUGUAGGAGUGAGAAGCUUUCCUACACAAGAAUUUGCAUGAAUAAAUGGUGGCUUAUGUGGCAACAAAUCCCAACACAUCUUUGAGAGCCCCUCCCCCAAAUGCAUUUUUGACUUACUGUACUCUAAGUAUUUUCCAUUUUAUUUUCUUAUUCAUUAUAUAAAAUAUAUGAAAUAAUUCUACAAAUGUAAAAUGCUAACAUGUUGUAGCAAUAUCUACAAAGUAUUGCAAACAUAAAUAAAGCAUACUGGAAAAUGUACAUUUUAUACCUGAAAAUUAACAACAACAAAAAUAAAUCAAAA